rnacentral:rRNA from 1 species
GAUGAACGCUGGCGGCGCGCCUAACACAUGCAAGUCGAACGGUUAAAGCACCUUUUAGGUGUGUAUAAAGUGGCGAACGGCUGAGUAACACGUGGGCAACCUGCCCUCCUCUUGGGGAUAGCCUCGGGAAACCGAGGAUAAUACCCGAUACUUCAAUGUGGCCGCAUGACGACAUUGAGAAAGCUUUUGCGGAGAAGGAUGGGCCCGCGGCCUGUUAGCUUGUUGGUGGGGUAGAGGCCUACCAAGGCAAUGAUGGGUAGCUGGGUUGAGAGACCGACCAGCCAGAUUGAGACUGAGACACGGCCCAGACGCCUACGGGAGGCAGCAGGGGGGAAUCUUGCACAAUGGGCGAAAGCCUGAUGCAGCGACGCCGCGGGCGGGACGAAGGCCUUCGGGUUGUAAACCGCUUUCAGCAGGGACGAGGCGAUAAGUGACGGUACCUGCAGAAGAAGCCCCGGCUAACUACGUG